rnacentral:rRNA from 1 species
UACAGAGGUGGCAAGCGUUGUUCGGAAUUACUGGGCGUAAAGGGCGCGUAGGCGGCCUUCUAAGUCAGACGUGAAAUCCCCCGGCUCAACCUGGGAAUUGCAUUCGAGACUGAAUAGCUAGGGUACGGUAGAGGGAAGUGGAAUUUCCGGUGUAGCGGUGAAAUGCGUAGAUAUCGGAAGGAACAUCAGUGGCGAAAGCGACUUCCUGGACCAGUACCGACGUUCAGGCACGAAAGCGUGGGGAGCAAACAGG